ACCAAUGUAGCAAGGGCUACUAAACUAGCAAGUAACAACAACAACUUUGAUUAUAUUGAAAAUACCAACUGGAAAUUACAUCUAAAAAUGACAAUAAGAAAAAGUUGGAGAUGAGAAGCAGAAGAAGGGGAUGAGAUCAGAGACAGAGGAAUGGGAUGAGAAGGGGAUAUUUUCAUAACAACUUUUGCCUAAAUCACUACAAUGCCUACGUCUGCUAUAUAUAACUAACUCCUGGCCCACACACUUUCAUUUAGCACUUACUACAUAAUCCAUUAGCUUUGCAGGUGGUUGUUUCUUGAGUUUGCCUCUAUCCAGAUUGCCCUUCAUCACUUCAUUACCCAAUUUAUUCUCAAUUGCCACAUCAGCUUCGUCUAAGAUUGUGUUGACAACAGGGUACAUACCUUUCUCUUUCAAUGUUUUAAGUGCCAAUGUUUUCUCUUUUUAAGUGGCACGUUAUUAGCAGCUUAUCUCUAGUCAAUUACAGCCUCCAACUGCCAGUAACAGAUACCAAGCAAGAAUAGCAUUGCAACAACAAAAAUGUAAAUUCAGUAGAAUUGUACUUGAAGAAAACUUACCCUAUUAUCAGUUGAAUAGACGCAUAUCAACUGAUCACCUUGUUCAAUAUCUUAAUUUCAACCUAUUAUCCUCAUAUAUUCUGCCAAAAAUAUAAUUACAUGUUCACUCACUUAUUCAGUAAACCCAUCUCUAGAACAUCCUAAGGGAAAACAGAAUUUCUCAGUUGCAUUAGUUCGUUAAACAACUUUCAUCAAAACAUCAAAGAGGAAAACAUAAUUCAUAUUCAAGAUUUAAUUUUUUUAAGAAAGCAAAAAUCUUUCUUUCAAAUUUGAAAUCAAAAUAAAACAAAAAGAAUGUAUUUCCUUACCUUGAAGAUUGCUUGAAAUAGAGAGAAAGAAGAAGUUGUUGUUGGAAAAAUAGAGUGGACAACCUAUUCAAAUUGGAAAAGCAAAAUCACAUACCCAAAGCAAAAGAACAUGUUGCAUGUGAUAUAUAAACCUCAAAUCAUAUACCACCAGGGGCGGCUCUAAGGCUAGGCAACUAAGGCCGUCGCCUUAGGCCCAAAAUUUGUAGGCCCCAAAUUAUUAUUAUUAUUAUUAUUAUUAUUAUUAUUAUUAUUAUUAUUAUUAUUAUUAUUAUAUAAUUUAUAUAAAUAAUUAUUAUAAAUAAAAGUGUCACAGUAUUUGUUUUGGUUACUAUUUGAUUGAGGUUAUUUUAUACCAAUAAGUUAUAAAUUAUGAUAUUUUCUUCACUCAUUAUUAGUAUAUUUGCUUCACUCUUCAAUUUUAAAUUUAUCCUUUUUAUAUAGAAAUUAAGUUAUACAUUGACAAUAUAAUGAAUUUCUUUUACAAUCUUCUUUGAAACCGUAUGAACACAAAAGCAUUCAUGCACCAAUUUGUUUUUAGUGUAAUUCAACAUAUUAUAUUAGGUUAUUUAUAAUUUAUUUUAAAUAUCUCGCCAAUGAGUGUUACUUAAUUAUGAACAGUGUAAAUAUUUUUGACACUAUUAAUGCUCAAAACUUAAACUAUUAUGCUAUGUACAUUCAUUUCUUUUUCUUGUUUGUGAUGAUAGCCAAAUUAAAAUUUUUGCUUUGAGUUCUGGACCUCAAUAUUUGAUAAUCAACCACUUUAUUCUUUAUGCUCUUCGUCCUAAUUUUUUUAAUUCGCUAUUUUGUGUCUUAAAUGAUUAAUUUGUUUUUUAGAAAGCAAAUUUUUUUGUUAGUGUUUUAUAAAAUAAAUUUGAGGGCCUCUCAAUAUGGUUUCGUCUUAAGCCACGAGCUCCGUUGAGCCGCCCAUGUAUACCACCCAAGGUUUUCCAAGCCAAGAUGGGGUUUUGAUGGUCGCUAUGCCCAAGUAAUUUCAUGUCCUAGAAUAUAAUCAUUGCCUCAACCUUUUAAACCAAUUUCAAACAUGCAUGUAGUGAAUCAAAUAAAAAAUGACCUAAGCUCAAGAUUUUUCUGCUUUUUUGUAGCCACUAAAAAGUCACUAUUGAAACUCAAAGAGUAAGCAAAAAUAUAAAUUAUAAAACGAAAUUAGAAGAAAACGGUAUAAAAAAGGAUGAACAAAACUCACCGGUGAGAGAAGUAGUGCCGGCAGAGAAACGCGGAGGAAGAAGGAGAGACAGAGAGAGCGCGAGUGAGAAACAAACUAAAAUUCGCUUAUAAAAUUCACAAAGAAGAGCCAAG
rnacentral:lncRNA from 1 species